CCAGACUCCUACGGGAGGCAGCAGUAGGGAAUCUUCGGCAAUGGACGAAAGUCUGACCGCGCAAUGCCGCGUGAGUGAAGAAGGUUUUCGGAUCGUAAAACUCUGUUGGUAGAGAAGAACGUUGGUGAGAGUGGAAAGCUCAUCAAGUGACGGUAACUACCCAGAAAGGGACGGCUAACUACGUGCCAGCAGCCGCGGUAAUACGUAGGUCCCGAGCGUUGUCCGGAUUUAUUGGGCGUAAAGCGAGCGCAGGUGGUUUAUUAAGUCUGGUGUAAAAGGCAGUGGCUCAACCAUUGUAUGCAUUGGAAACUGGUAGACUUGAGUGCAGGAGAGGAGAGUGGAAUUCCAUGUGUAGCGGUGAAAUGCGUAGAUAUAUGGAGGAACACCGGUGGCGAAAGCGGCUCUCUGGCCUGUAACUGACACUGAGGCUCGAAAGCGUGGGGAGCAAGCAGGAUUAGAUACCCUGGUAGUCCACGCCGUAAACGAUGAGUGCUAGAUGUAGGGAGCUAUAAGUUCUCUGUAUCGCAGCUAACGCAAUAAGCACUCCGCCUGGGGAGUACGACCGCAAGGUUGAAACUCAAAGGAAUUGACGGGGGCCCGCACAAG
rnacentral:rRNA from 1 species